UGCUCGGCCUGUGGAGGAUUAAAGAGAACUCAAUCGUCUCAUUUAAGUUCUUCACUCACACCAACCAUACCAGACAAAAAGUUUAAUACGAAAGAAGAAAGACGCAGAGCCGAUCCUGCUUAUGAGAUCAUGGAGAGUCGUGUGCCGGAGAGGAACUCCGAGGCAGAGGAGAGAAGCAAGUACGAGCU